rnacentral:rRNA from 1 species
ACGUAGGAGGCAAGCGUUAUCCGGAGUUACUGGGCGUAAAGGGCGUGCAGGCGGUUGGCUAAGUUCGUUGUGAAAGCGCCCAGGCUUAACCGGGCGAGGACAAUGAAGACUGGUCAGCUAGAGGACGGUAGAGGGAGGUGGAAUUCCGCGUGUAGCAGUGAAAUGCGUAGAUAUGCGGAGGAACACCGAUGGCGAAGGCAGCCUCCUGGGCCAGUACUGACGCUCAUACACGAAAGCGUGGGGAGCAAACAG